rnacentral:rRNA from 1 species
UACGGAAGGUCCGGGCGUUAUCCGGAUUUAUUGGGUUUAAAGGGAGCGUAGGCCGGAGAUUAAGCGUGUUGUGAAAUGUAGACGCUCAACGUCUGCACUGCAGCGCGAACUGGUUUCCUUGAGUACGCACAAAGUGGGCGGAAUUCGUGGUGUAGCGGUGAAAUGCUUAGAUAUCACGAAGAACUCCGAUAGCGAAGGCAGCUCACUGGAGCGCAACUGACGCUGAAGCUCGAAAGUGCGGGUAUCGAACAGG